rnacentral:rRNA from 1 species
GACGGACGCUGGCGGCGUGCUUAACACAUGCAAGUCGAACGGUGACGAGGAGCUUGCUCCUCCGAUCAGUGGCGAACGGGUGAGUAACACGUGAGCAACCUGCCCCAGACUCUGGGAUAACAGUUGGAAACAGCUGCUAAUACCGGAUACGAGACGGAGAGGCAUCUCUACCGUCUGGAAAGUUUUUUCGGUCUGGGAUGGACUCGCGGCCUAUCAGCUAGUUGGUGAGGUAAUGGCUCACCAAGGCGACGACGGGUAGCCGGCCUGAGAGGGCGACCGGCCACACUGGGACUGAGACACGGCCCAGACUCCUACGGGAGGCAGCAGUGGGGAAUAUUGCACAAUGGGCGAAAGCCUGAUGCAGCGACGCCGCGUGAGGGAUGACGGCCU